GCAUCGGUGGUUCAGUGGUAGAAUGCUCGCCUGUCAUGCGGGUUCGAUUCCCGGCCGAUGCA
rnacentral:tRNA from 1 species